rnacentral:tRNA from 1 species
GCUAUUUUGGCAGACAAGUGCAUUGGAUUUAGAAUCUAUUAAUGUGGAAUUUUAUUUCAUAAGUAGUA